rnacentral:rRNA from 1 species
UACGGGGGGGGCAAGCGUUGUUCGGAAUUACUGGGCGUAAAGGGCCCGUAGGCGGCCAACUAAGUCAGACGUGAAAUCCCUCGGCUUAACCGGGGAACUGCGUCUGAUACUGGAUGGCUUGAGAUUGGGAGAGGGAUGCGGAAUUCCAGGUGUAGCGGUGAAAUGCGUAGAUAUCUGGAGGAACACCGGUGGCGAAGGCGGCAUCCUGGACCAACACUGACGCUGAGGAGCGAAAGCCAGGGGAGCAAACGGG